AUUACAUAGCUAAGAUUAUAAAGGUUGUCUUUGGUGCGAAAAAGAGACUCAACAGCUUUUUUCCAACUUGUAUAAAGCGUUACAAAAUGUGCAGACAAUAGUUUAGUAGUGCAAGGUCUUACCCUCCUCAAACUUAAUAUUAGCUGUCUUCGAUUCGCCAAUCUUUGGAGAGUAGUGAAUCGAAGGAAUUAUACUAGUUCUUCAAACAAACUGGUACUACUUGUGUUGCAACCCUACGCACAUAUUUGUUACAGAAAGUUUUCUUUACGAGAAAAAAAAAACGUUUUAGUAACAUCAUUUUUCGAACCUUACGUUUUCUAUAAAAAAUUAUAAACUAUUUCAUGUCUUUAACUUUUAAUGUCAAUAAAAAAAUUUCAAUUCAAUUUUCAUUUUUGAAAGCUAUUUGUCAUAUGAGCCGUUCUCAAUUGCAAAACUGUUCAAAAUUGUUACAAAAAUAUCAUUAUAUAUAGCGAUUACACCGCUUUAAUGGAAACUAAUUAUCUUAUGCAUGAAACACAAUGAAAGCGGCAGACGGUAGGCAGCAUCUGUUAAAUAUUAAAAUACAUACGUUCCUUUGGGCACAGUUAUUCAGAUAUAUAAUUUAUAAUAACAAUUUAUAGUUUAACACUAGAGCUACGAAGAUUUGCCAUAUAAAUAUUUCAAAGGUCUCUCUCUCUCUCAAAAUUAGAAGCGUAAGAACAAAAUAAUCUAUAAUGUUAUUCUGUACACAAAUUUAAUAAAAAUGAUGACGUUAUUGUAAAAUAUUAAAUAGGAAUAAAGAGGAAAUGGUAUAAAUAAAUGAUGCAACCGGUCAUUUUGACCGUUUCGCAGUUCUAGUAUUAAAACAA